GAUGAACGCUAGCUACAGGCUUAACACAUGCAAGUCGAGGGGAAACGACAUCGAAAGCUUGCUUUUGAUGGGCGUCGACCGGCGCACGGGUGAGUAACGCGUAUCCAACCUGCCCACCACUUGGGGAUAACCUUGCGAAAGUAAGACUAAUACCCGAUGAUAUCUCUAGAAGACAUCUGAAAGGGAUUAAAGAUUUAUCGGUGAUGGAUGGGGAUGCGUCUGAUUAGCUUGUUGGCGGGGUAACGGCCCACCAAGGCAACGAUCAGUAGGGGUUCUGAGAGGAAGGUCCCCCCACAUUGGAACUGAGACACGGUCCAAAACUCCUACGGGAGGCAGCAGUGAGGAAUAUUGGUCAAAUGGACGUAAGUCUGAACCAGCCAAGUAGCGUGCAGGAUGACGGCCCUAUGGGUUGUAAACUGCUUUUAUGCGGGGAUAAAGUGGGCCACGCGUGGCCUUUUGCAGGUACCGCAUGAAUAAGGACCGGCUAAUUCCGUG
rnacentral:rRNA from 1 species